CUGAGUUUACAACUCCCAAACCCUUUGUGAAUCAUACCUAACGUUGCUUCGGCGGGAUCGCCCCGGUGCCUCUGCGCGCCGGAUCCACGGCGCCCGCCGGGGGACCAAAACUCUUGAUUUGUUAGUGGUAUUCUCUCUGAGUGGCACAAGCAAAAAUAAAUUA
rnacentral:misc_RNA from 1 species